CACAAAUGUCUGCGGCUGGUCCAACACAUGAAAGCCGAACGACCGGCGGACGGGCGAGCAACGUCUUGGAAACCGCCUGAUCGUGGGGGAUAUCUACUGGAAACAGUAGCCAAUACCGAACACUAUCGGAUGUGCUCAGCUGGGAUUUGCUAGCAGGUGGGGUAACGGCUCACCUAGGCGACGAUCCCUAGCUGGUCUGAGAGGAUGACCAGCCACACUGGACCUGAGACACGGUCCAGACUCCUACGGGAGGCAGCAGUGGGGAAUAUUGCACAAUGGGCGCAAGCCUGAUGCAGCCAUGCCGCGUGUAUGAAGAAGGCCUUCGGGUUGUAGAGUACUUUCAGCGAGGAGGCGUUACUCGCAGAAGAAGCACCGGCUAACUCCGUGCCAGCCGCCGCGGUAAUAC
rnacentral:rRNA from 1 species